GUCUAGCCGUAAACUUAAGCAAACACCUUACUGAUUUGCCCGCCAGAAGAUUACAAGCGAAAGCUUAAAAUUCAAAGGACUUGACGGUAUUCCAUAUCAACCUAGAGGAGCCUGUCCCGUAAUCGAUGAUCCACGUUUAACCUCACCUACUCUUGCCUAAAUCAGCCUGUAUACCGCCGUCGCCAGCCCAUCUAGUGAUAGAAUAAAAAUGGACACAAUUGUCUCACCACAAAAACGUCAGGUCAAGGUGCAGCUAAUGGGUAGGUUGAGAUGGGCUACAUUUUUUAAUAUAAAAAACUACUACAAGCAUCAUGAAACAUGAGCUACAAAGGCGGAUUUAGCAGUAAAUACGUGCAAGAUAUGCCGCAUUGAAAACUGUUCUGGAAUGCGUACAC
rnacentral:rRNA from 1 species